rnacentral:rRNA from 1 species
AUACGGAGGGUGCAAGCGUUACUCGGAAUCACUGGGCGUAAAGCGCGCGCAGGCGGCUUGGUAAGUCCCUUUUGAAAGCUCCCGGCUUAACUGGGAGAGGUGAGGGGAAACUACUUGGCUUGAGGACAGCAGAGGAAAGCGGAAUUCCCGGUGUAGCGGUGAAAUGCGUAGAUAUCCGGAGGAACACCAGUGGCGAAGGCGGCUUCCUGGACCAAUACUGACACUGAGGCGCGAAAGCGUGGGGAGCAAACAGGAUUAGAAACCCCAGUAGUCC